rnacentral:misc_RNA from 1 species
GAUGAAUAACGCAGCGAAAUGCGAUAAGUAAUGUGAAUUGCAGAAUUCAGUGAAUCAUCGAAUCUUUGAACGCACAUUGCGCCCGCCAGCACUCUGGCGGGCAUGCCUGUUCGAGCGUCAUUUCAACCAUCAAGCCCCCAGGGGCUUGUGCUGGGGCCCUGCGGCUGCCCGCAGGCCCUGAAAACCAGUGGCGGGCUCGCUAGUCACACCGAGCGCAGUAGCACAUCUCGCUCAGGGCGUGCGGCGGGCUCCUGCCGUGAAACCCCCCACUGUAACCCCAAAGGUUGACCUCGGAUCAGGUAGGAAUACCCGCUGAACUUAAGCAUAUCAAUAAGCGGAGGA